ACUGUCAAAUAUCAGGCUCAGAUAUUCAUCAAAGAAAGACUUCCUAAAGUGUUACAAGACGAUAAGGUCCGACAGGAUCAGAGGGUCAUUAGUUAUGUCCUAAAGUGUGUGGAGCUUUGCUGGUUCAUGAAUGUGCAGGAUCCGCCGAUGGAACUGGUGGCUCCUAAAGAGGGCGAAGACGUGGACAAAAACCUAUUCUCCCAUCACGGAAGAAAAGGCAAAAAGGUGCAGACAUGUGUAUGGGCGGCGCUUCUGCUCCACAAGGAGGGGCCUGUGGUGUGCAAGGGCUAUAUCCUCCCAAAACCUAAGUAACUAUACUACCAAACCUAAUACUAUAUGAUAACCACUUAAUCUAAGUAGCUACACUGCAGCAUUUAUUCUUUGAAACAGGUUUUUGUUUUGUAUAUUAGUUUUCCUAUUGCAGUCAACAAUGAGUUGAUGUCGCUCCUCAAUAUUUCAUGAUUGAGAAUUUCAGUAACAAUUUCAUUUAUUAGCCAGAUAUACACUGUAUAUGAGUUGUUUUUUUUCUACAAUUAUUUAAAAUAUGUAUUUAGUGUGUUUGACAUGUUUUAUGUUUGUUGAUUCUGUAGUGUUGAAGCAUCUGCUUUAGAUCAUCCUUUGUUAUAGGAAAUAUAAAUCAUGAUUGUUAUAACUUUUAUGAUUACAAGGUACAAACUGUUGACAAGUGAGUGAUCCAUUUUGUUUGUAAUUACAAAAUAAAGACAAUCCUUG
rnacentral:misc_RNA from 1 species